CCCUGGUUAGCUCAGUUGGUAGAGCGCUCGACUAGAAAUGGAGACGUCCCGGAUUCGAUACCUCGACCAGGCG
rfam:Ixodes scapularis strain Wikel colony gcontig_1107728861608, whole genome shotgun sequence.